UCUCCUGGAAACGGGUGGUAAUGCCGGAUGCUCCAGUUGAUCGCAUGGUCUUCUGGGAAAGCUUUCGCGGUAUGGGAUGGGGUCGCGUCCUAUCAGCUUGACGGCGGGGUAACGGCCCACCGUGGCUUCGACGGGUAGCCGGCCUGAGAGGGCGACCGGCCACAUUGGGACUGAGAUACGGCCCAGACUCCUACGGGAGGCAGCAGUGGGGAAUAUUGCACAAUGGGCGCAAGCCUGAUGCAGCGACGCCGCGUGAGGGAUGGAGGCCUUCGGGUUGUAAACCUCUUUUAUCGGGGAGCAAGCGAGAGUGAGUUUACCCGUUGAAUAAGCACCGGCUAACUACGUGCCAGCAGCCGCGGUAAUACGUAGGGUGCAAGCGUUAUCCGGAAUUAUUGGGCGUAAAGGGCUCGUAGGCGGUUCGUCGCGUCCGGUGUGAAAGUCCAUCGCUUAACGGUGGAUCCGCGCCGGGUACGGGCGGGCUUGAGUGCGGUAGGGGAGACUGGAAUUCCCGGUGUAACGGUGGAAUGUGUAGAUAUCGGAAAGAACACCAAC
rnacentral:rRNA from 1 species